rnacentral:rRNA from 1 species
UACAGAGGUGGCAAGCGUUAGUUCGGAAUUACUGGCGUAAGGGCGCGAUAGGCGGCCCUCUAAGUCAGAUCGUGAAAUCCCCCGGCUUAACCUGGGAAACUGCGUCUGACUACUGGAGGCUUGAGUAUGGGAGAGGGAUGUAGAAUUCCAGGGUGUAGCGGUGAAAUGCGUAGUAUAAUCUGGAGGAAUACCGGUGGCGAAGGCGGCAUCCUGGACCAUUACUGGAACGGCUGAGGUAGCGAAAGCGUGGGGAGCGAACAGGAG